rnacentral:rRNA from 1 species
AGGUGCGAUCAUACGUACACUAAUGCACCGAAUCUCAUCAGAAUUCCGCAGGCAAGCGUGCUUGGGCGACAGUAGUACUAGGAUGGGUGACCUCCUGGGAAGUCCUUGUGUUGCACUUC